GUUGACUCACUGUAGUGCAGUGGGAACCAACCUGAAAGCAGGUAGAGUUGACUCACUGUAGUGCAGUGGGAACCAACCUGAAAGCAGGUAGAGUUGACUCACUGUAGUGCAGUGGGAACCAACCUGAAAGCAGGUAGAGUUGACUCACUGUAGUGCAGUGGGAACCAACCUGAAAGCAGGUAGAGUUGACUCACUGUAGUGCAGUGGGAACCAACCUGAAAGCAGGUAGAGUUGACUCACUGUAGUGCAGUGGGAACCAACCUGAAAGCAGGUAGAGUUGACUCACUGUAGUGCAGUGGGAACCAACCUGAAAGCAGGUAGAGUUGACUCACUGUAAUGCAGUGGGAACCAACC